rnacentral:rRNA from 1 species
UAAACCUAAAGGCGCAAUGAAAGUAAAGGUCCGCCUCGCGCGGACCGAGGGAGGAUGGGCCCGUCCCCGGGCGGGCCCCGCACUCCCGGGGCGUCUCGUUCUCAUCGCGAGAAGAGGCGCACCCAGAGCGUACACGCUGGGACCCGAAAGAUGGUGAACUAUGCCUGGUCAGGACGAAGUCAGGGGAAACCCUGAUGGAGGUCCGUAGCGAUUCUGACGUGCAAAUCGAUCGUCGGAACUGGGUAUAGGGGCGAAAGACUAAUCGAACCUUCUAGUAGCUGGUUCCCUCCGAAGUUUCCCUCAGGAUAGCUGGCGCUCGCCUUCGCGAGUCUCAUUCGGUAAAGCGAAUGAUUAGAGGCAUUGGGGUCGAAACGGCCUCAACCUAUUCUCAAACUUUAAAUGGGUGAGAUCUCCGGCUUGCUUGAAGCGUGAAGCCGCGAGAUAUCGGAUCAGAGUGCCAAGUGGGCCACUUUUGGUAAGCAGAACUGGCGCUGUGGGAUGAACCAAACGCCGAGUUAAAGCGCCGAAAUCGACGCUUAUGGGAUACCAUGAAAGGCGUUGGUAACUUAAGACAGCAGGACGGUGGCCAUGGAAGUCGGA